AACGAACGCUGGCGGCAUGCCUAACACAUGCAAGUCGAACGAGACCUUCGGGUCUAGUGCGCACGGGUGCGUAACGCGUGGGAACCUGCCUUUAGGUUCGGAAUAACUCAGAGAAAUUUGAGCUAAUACCGGAUGAUGUCUUCGGACCAAAGAUUUAUCGCCUUUAGAUGGGCCCGCGUUGGAUUAGCUAGUUGGUGGGGUAAAGGCCUACCAAGGCGACGAUCCAUAGCUGGUCUGAGAGGAUGAUCAGCCACACUGGGACUGAGACACGGCCCAGACUCCUACGGGAGGCAGCAGUGGGGAAUAUUGGACAAUGGGCGAAAGCCUGAUCCAGCAAUGCCGCGUGAGUGAUGAAGGCCUUAGGGUUGUAAAGCUCUUUUACCCGAGAUGAUAAUGACAGUAUCGGGAGAAUAAGCUCCGGCUAACUCCGUG
rnacentral:rRNA from 1 species